UACUUGGUUGAUCCUGCCAAGGAAGCACACUUAGGUCAUAGAUUAAGCCAUGCAAGUGUUAGUUCAGGUAACGAAACUGCGAAUAGCUCAUUAAUACGCUCAGAAUCUAUUUGGCGGCGACCAACAGGUCUUAAAUGGAUAGCAGCAGCAACUCUGGUGCUAAUACAUGCGAUUGUUUCUCCAGAUGUGAAUUAUGGAGGAAAAGUUGACCUCAUCAGAGGCACGCCAUUCGACUGAGUGACCUAUCAGCUUGUACUUAGGGUCUUUACCUAGGUAGGCUAUCACGGGUAACGGGCGGUUACCGUCGGACUGCCGGAGAAGGCGCCUGAGAGAUAGCGACUAUAUCCACGGGUAGCAGCAGGCGCGAAACUUUCCCACUCGAGACUUUCGGAGGAGGUAAUGACCAGUUCCAUUGGUGCCUUUUGGUACUGUGGAUAGGGGUACGGUUUUCCACCGUACCGAAACCUAGCAGAGGGCCAGUCUGGUGCCAGCAGCUGCGGUAAUUCCAGCUCUGCGAGUUUGCUCCCAUAUUGUUGCAGUUAAAACGCCCGUAGUCUGAAUUGGCCAGCAAUGGUCGUACGUAUUUUUACGUUCACUGUGAACAAAUCAGGACGCUUAGAGUAGGCCACAGA
rnacentral:ncRNA from 1 species